rnacentral:piRNA from 1 species
UCAGACACAAGUUUUAAUCGCCUCUCGU